rnacentral:rRNA from 1 species
UACCUAUUUGUUGCCUCGGCGGUGCCUGUUCCGACAGCCCGCCAGAGGACCCCAAACCCUGAUUACAUUUAAGAAGUCUUCUGAGUAAACCGAUUAAAUAAAUCAAAACUUUCAACAACGGAUCUCUUGGUUCUGGCAUCGAUGAAGAACGCAGCGAAAUGCGAUAAGUAAUGUGAAUUGCAGAAUUCAGUGAAUCAUCGAAUCUUUGAACGCACAUUGCGCCCGCUAGUAUUCUGGCGGGCAUGCCUGUCCGAGCGUCAUUUCAACCCUCAAGCCCCCGGGCUUGGUGUUGGGGAUCGGCGAGCCUCCGCGCCCGCCGUCCCCUAAAUCUAGUGGCGGUCUCGCUGUAGCUUCCUCUGCGUAGUAGUACACCUCGCACUGGGAAACAGCGCGGCCACGCCGUUAAACCCCCAACUUCUGAACGUUUGACCUCGGAUCAGGUAGGAAUACCCGCUGAACUUAAGCAUAUCAAUAAGCGGAGGAACUG